AAUCCCUGUGAUGAACUAGCUGAAUAAUUUUAAAAGUAGUGGCCUGAUAUUCAUUGAUGAAAAUCUUUGUUCUGAGGGAUU